rnacentral:rRNA from 1 species
GAUGAACGCUGGCGGCGUGCCUAAUACAUGCAAGUCGAGCGAACGGACGAGAAGCUUGCUUCUCUGAUGUUAGCGGCGGACGGGUGAGUAACACGUGGAUAACCUACCUAUAAGACUGGGAUAACUUCGGGAAACCGUAGCUAAUACCGGAUAAUAUUUUGAACCGCAUGGUUCAAAAGUGAAAGACGGUCUUGCUGUCACUUAUAGAUGGAUCCGCGCUGCAUUAGCUAGUUGGUAAGGUAACGGCUUACCAAGGCAACGAUGCAUAGCCGACCUGAGAGGGUGAUCGGCCACACUGGAACUGAGACACGGUCCAGACUCCUACGGGAGGCAGCAGUAGGGAAUCUUCCGCAAUGAGCGAAAGCCUGACGUAGCAACGCCGCGUGAGUGAUGAAGGUCUUCGGAUCGUAAAACUCUGUUAUUAGGGAAGAACAUAUGUGUAAGUAACUGUGCACAUCUUGACGGUACCUAAUCAGAAAGCCACGGCUAACUACGUG